rnacentral:tRNA from 1 species
GGGCCAGUGGUGCAAUGGUUAACGUGUCUUAUUACGCAUCAGAAGAUUCUAGGUUUGACUCCUGGCGGGCUCG